UACGGAGGAUGCAAGCGUUAUCCGUAAUGAUUGGGCGUAAAGCAUCCGCAGGUGGCAAUGUAAGUCUGCUGUUAAAGAGUCUAGCUCAACUAGAUAAAAGCAGUGGAAACUACAUAGCUAGAGUACGUUCGGGGCAGAGGGAAUUCCUGGUGUAGCGGUGAAAUGCGUAGAGAUCAGGAAGAACACCAGUGGCGAAGGCGCUCUGCUAGGCCGUAACUGACACUGAGGGACGAAAGCUAGGGGAGCAAACGGG
rnacentral:rRNA from 1 species